AAGUAGUAAUAAUAAAUAAAACUUAUUUAAUUUGGCGGCAUUUAAUCUUAUUAGAGGAACUUGUUUACUAAUUGAUAAUCCACAAUAAUUUUCACUUUAAAAAAAAAAUUUAUAUACCGCCAUCUAAAGAAUUAAUUAAUAAAUAUUAUUCAAAAUAAAAAUUAAAAAGUUAGGUCAAGGUGUAGUCUAUAUUAAAGACUAAAAUGAGUUACUUUAAAUAAAAUUUAAGAAUUUUAAUUCUAAAAUUUUUCUGAAAAAGGAUUUAAAAUUAAUAUAAAUAAAAUUAUUUAUUUAUUAAUUAGAUAAUAAAUGUGU
rnacentral:rRNA from 1 species